UACAGAGGUCUCGAGCGUUGCUCGGAUUCAUUGGGCGUAAAGGGUGCGUAGGUGGCGCUGUAAGUCAGGUGUGAAAUUUCGGAGCUUAACUCCGAAACUGCAUUUGAUACUGCGGUGCUUGAGGACUGGAGAGGAGACUGGAAUUUACGGUGUAGCAGUGAAAUGCGUAGAGAUCGUAAGGAAGACCAGUGGCGAAGGCGGGUCUCUGGACAGUUCCUGACACUGAGGCACGAAGGCCAGGGGAGCAAACGGG
rnacentral:rRNA from 1 species